GUGAGGAAUAUUGGUCAAUGGACGGAAGUCUGAACCAGCCAAGUAGCGUGCAGGAUGACGGCCCUAUGGGUUGUAAACUGCUUUUAUGCGGGGGUAAAGUGAGUGACGUGUCAUUCAUUGCAAGUACCGCAAGAAUAAGGACCGGCUAAUUCCGUGCCAGCAGCCGCGGUAAUACGGAAGGUCCUGGUGUUAUCCGGAUUUAUUGGGUUUAAAGGGAGCGUAGGCCGUCAGGCAAGCGUGUUGUGAAAUGUCGUGGCUCAACCAUGGACUUGCAGCGCGAACUGCCCGACUUGAGUGCGCAGAAAGCAGGCGGAAUUUGUGGUGUAGCGGUGAAAUGCUUAGAUAUCACGAAGAACCCCGAUUGCGAAGGCAGCCUGCUGUAGCGCUACUGACGCUGAAGCUCGAAAGUGCGGGUAUCGAACAGGAUUAGAAACCCCGGUAGUCC
rnacentral:rRNA from 1 species